rnacentral:rRNA from 1 species
GAUGAACGCUGGCGGCGUGCCUAAUACAUGCAAGUCGAGCGUACAGACGAGGAGCUUGCUCCUCUGACGUUAGCGGCGGACGGGUGAGUAACACGUGGAUAACCUACCUAUAAGACUGGGAUAACUUCGGGAAACCGGAGCUAAUACCGGAUAAUAUAUUGAACCGCAUGGUUCAAUAGUGAAAGACGGUUUUGCUGUCACUUAUAGAUGGAUCCGCGCCGCAUUAGCUAGUUGGUAAGGUAACGGCUUACCAAGGCAACGAUGCGUAGCCGACCUGAGAGGGUGAUCGGCCACACUGGAACUGAGACACGGUCCAGACUCCUACGGGAGGCAGCAGUAGGGAAUCUUCCGCAAUGGGCGAAAGCCUGACGGAGCAACGCCGCGUGAGUGAUGAAGGUCUUCGGAUCGUAAAACUCUGUUAUUAGGGAAGAACAAAUGUGUAAGUAACUAUGCACGUCUUGACGGUACCUAAUCAGAAAGCCACGGCUAACUACGG